rnacentral:lncRNA from 1 species
AUAAAGGUAAACUUCAAUAUGCCACCUCUGUGAUUUUACAUUUUCUCACUUUAGUACCUUAUAAUUUAAAGUGUAUUAAGUUAAUAUUUUGUGGUUUUAUUUUUAUCUUUUCGUCAGUUUUUUCGUUAAUAUUUCGUCAAAUUAUAUACAAAAAACUUCAGAUACCUUAUCUAGAUUUAUUAAAUAUUCACUUUAGUAUUCUUUAGUUUUAACUUUGUUACUGAUUUAACGAAAAAAAUUAGUGGAAUCGAUAAUAAAAAGAUAAAAAUAAAAUCGCAUGGUACUAAACUAAAUUGAUACACUUUAAAGCACAGGAUACUAAAGUGAGAAAGUGUGAAACCACAUGGAUGAUUUUUGAAGUUUUUCUUGAAAAUAAAAAGGUAGGGACUAAAAUAAAAAUCUGGUAGAAGUUGGGGACCAAUAACGCAAUUAACCUGAUUUUUAUGGGGUCCCACCGUCCCACGUGGUAGGAGGGACAAGUUGCCACGGCGCGCCAAAAGCAGAUUAGGUACAUCGUACUGCACACUGACCCAUGUCUCUGGAACCAAAAUAUAUGCCUAGAAAAAAAAAUUCUAGAAUAUGCCAGUUAUACUGAUAUAAUAUUUUUAAUUAAUUAAAUAAAUUUUUAAAAUUAAUUUAUUAUAUUAUAAUUAUAAAAAAAAUAUUUUUAUUGUAUUUUUUUUUUUAAAGGAGGGGAUUGGCUUGUUAUUGUUUUUUUUUUUUUUUUGAGAGAUAGGUAGCACGCUACACACUUCGUUUAUUUCAUUUAGAAAUAAACUUAGCUAGAAAUAUAAAUCAACGAAGAUUCGAACUUGGGACCUCGGGUAUCAACCACUAAGCCCUUUGCCACUUGCUUUAGGGAUAAUCGGUGAUUGGCUUGUUAUUACUGAUGUGGUACAAGUGUGAUACAGUAAACUUUUCUUCACAGUAGAAGUAUUUCAGUCAGACUCUCUCUCUCUCUCUCUAUAUAUAUAGUCCGGUUAAGAUGCUAUUAAUAGCACGAAGCACUUGGUGCUACCAAAUUUUCCGCCGUUAGAUCUAUCCUUUUGAUCAUUUUCACCCGUUAGAUCAUACUAUUCAACCAACCACCCACUCAAUCCUAAGGGGCCUACAUCAUCCUAAUUGCACAUCUCUUUAUUCAACGGCCAAAAACUUGGUAGCACUAAUGACUUGGUGCUAUUAAUAGCAUAAUAGUCUAGUUUUAUNN